rnacentral:rRNA from 1 species
AACGUGGGGGGCCAGCGUUGCUCGGAAUUACUGGGCGUAAAGGGUUCGUAGGCGGUGCAGCAAGUCGGGAGUGAAAUCCCGGGGCUUAACUCCGGGACUGCUUCCGAAACUGCUGUGCUAGAGUGCGGGAGAGGCGAGUGGAAUUGCGAGUGUAGCGGUGAAAUGCGUAGAGAUUCGCAGGAACACCAGAGGCGAAGGCGGCUCGCUGGACCGCAACUGACGCUGAGGAACGAAAGCUAGGGGAGCAAACAGG